rnacentral:pre_miRNA from 1 species
GCAUAUGCUUAAAUAUUUUUUCCAAGGCUUUAAUUGAAGGACACGGGGUGGGAUUUGAUCCACUUAUGUGUGUAUGGCUCUCAAGAUCAUUUAAUAUAGUCUCUUUGGAUCAAAUCCCACUCCAUGUCCUUCGAUUAAAGCCUUGGAAAAAAAUAUUUAAACAUAUGU